rnacentral:rRNA from 1 species
UACGUAGGGGGCAAGCGUUAUCCGGAAUUACUGGGUGUAAAGGGUGCGUAGGUGGUAUGGCAAGUCAGAAGUGAAAACCCAGGGCUUAACUCUGGGACUGCUUUUGAAACUGUCAGACUGGAGUGCAGGAGGGGUAAGCGGAAUUCCUAGUGUAGCGGUGAAAUGCGUAGAUAUUAGGAGGAACAUCAGUGGCGAAGGCGGCUUACUGGACUGAAACUGACACUGAGGCACGAAAGCGUGGGGAGCAAACAGG